AUUGAACGCUGGCGGCAGGCCUAACACAUGCAAGUCGAGCGGAUGAAGGGAGCUUGCUCCUGGAUUCAGCGGCGGACGGGUGAGUAAUGCCUAGGAAUCUGCCUGGUAGUGGGGGAUAACGUCCGGAAACGGGCGCUAAUACCGCAUACGUCCUGAGGGAGAAAGUGGGGGAUCUUCGGACCUCACGCUAUCAGAUGAGCCUAGGUCGGAUUAGCUAGUUGGUGGGGUAAAGGCCUACCAAGGCGACGAUCCGUAACUGGUCUGAGAGGAUGAUCAGUCACACUGGAACUGAGGCACGGUCCAGACUCCUACGGGAGGCAGCAGUGGGGAAUAUUGGACAAUGGGCGAAAGCCUGAUCCAGCCAUGCCGCGUGUAUGAAGAAGGUCUUCGGAUUGUAAAGCACUUUAAGUUGGGAGGAAGGGCAGUAAGUUAAUACCUUGCUGUUUUGACGUUACCAACAGAAUAAGCACCGGCUAACUUCGUG
rnacentral:rRNA from 1 species